GACGAACGCUGGCGGCGUGCUUAACACAUGCAAGUCGAGCGGUAAGGCCCUUUCGGGGGUACACGAGCGGCGAACGGGUGAGUAACACGUGGGUGACCUGCCCUCAGCUCUGGGAUAAGCCUGGGAAACCGGGUCUAAUACUGGAUAUGACUCCAUGACGCAUGUUGUGGGGUGGAAAGCCUUGUGCGGCUGAGGAUGGGGCCCGCGGCCUAUCAGCUUGUUGGUGGGGUGANGGCCUACCAAGGCGACGACGGGUAGCCGGCCUGAGAGGGCGACCGGCCACACUGGGACUGAGACACGGCCCAGACUCCUACGGGAGGCAGCAGUGGGGAAUCUUGCGCAAUGGGCGAAAGCCUGACGCAGCGACGCCGCGUGAGGG
rnacentral:rRNA from 1 species